UCGGGAAUUUUGGGCAAUGGGCGAAAGCCUGACCCAGCAACGCCGCGUGAAGGAUGAAGUAUUUCGGUAUGUAAACUUCGAAAGAAUAGGAAGAAUAAAUGACGGUACUAUUUAUAAGGUCCGGCUAACUACGUGCCAGCAGCCGCGGUAAUACGUAGGGACCAAGCGUUGUUCGAAUUUACUGGGCGUAAAGGGCGCGUAGGCGGCAAUUCAAGUCAUCUGUGAAAUCUCCGGGCUUAACUCGGAACGGUCAGAUGAUACUGCUUUGCUAGAGUGCAGAAGGGGCAAUCGGAAUUCUUGGUGUAGCGGUGAAAUGCGUAGAUAUCAAGAGGAACACCUGAGGUGAAGACGGGUUGCUGGGCUGACACUGACGCUGAGGCGCGAAAGCCAGGGGAGCAAACGGGAUUAGAUACCCCGGUAGUCCCUGAGCGGGCUGGCAAGGCGCAU
rnacentral:rRNA from 1 species